rnacentral:rRNA from 1 species
UGCCAGCCGCCGCGGUAAUACGUAGGGCGCAAGCGUUGUCCGGAAUUAUUGGGCGUAAAGAGCUCGUAGGCGGUUUGUCGCGUCUGCUGUGAAAGUCCGAGGCUCAACCUCGGAUCUGCAGUGGGUACGGGCAGACUAGAGUGUGGUAGGGGAGACUGGAAUUCCUGGUGUAGCGGUGGAAUGCGCAGAUAUCAGGAGGAACACCAAUGGCGAAGGCAUCUCUCUGGGUCGAUAUUGACGCUGAGGCGCGAAGGCGUGGGUAGCGAACGGGAUUAGAUA